rnacentral:lncRNA from 1 species
GGGAUUCUGGCAGCAAAGCCCAGGACACUUUUACCCCCUGCGCCACUGGGACAAUUCUCAGGCUGAGAGAACGACUGCCCUGACGUCUGCGGUGCUGCAGACCCAUCCAUGUAAUGCCCACAGAAGGCAGCUCAUCAGCUUAACUAGAUCAAGUGAGUUGAGAACCAAUAGGGUCUGGCUGAGGGUUUUUUUUUACUGCAGCUCUGUGCUUGGUUCUUUAGUCUGAUCAAUUUGUCUGUCAUGAGCCCCAUGGAGACAUCUUGGCAGGGCUGGUCCAAGCGGGAGGAGGAAGAAAGGGGAGGGGCCUUGUGGCCUAGUGAUCUAGAUGCUGAGGAAGGGGCAAGUAGGCUGUCAGGGGAGAGGCCUACCUCUUUGACAGUGGAUCCCCUGGCUGCCACAGUAGAGGAGCAACCUGACUUGCCUCGGCCACUGCCACCUGUCAGUGAAGUGUUUCCUGCUCCUGGGAAAGGCCCUGAGUGUAGAAUGACAGUAAGCUGGUGUGUAAGCCCACCCACAUCACCCAAGAAGCAGCCACAGCUAGCAGACCCAGCAGACCGCCUACCUGUAGGAGUGCCCACUUGCUUGCCUGAUCCCAAAGCUUAGGGAAAUGACUACAUGAAUGGACGUGCCCGCCCCACUCUUCCAAAGGUCAACCUGGGGGGCAUGCCAGGUGUUGGACCAUGUCUUAGCCUAGCCAUGUACCUUAGAGCUCUGCUAUGACUUCUGAACUGUGUAACCUGAUAUAUAUUUGGACACUGUAGUGAAAUCUGGAAUAAAGCCUUAUAUGAUUACCAAGUCUGAGUAAUGAGUCCACAAAUGGUAGCCAAGAUGCUGCCCUUGGGAGAAGCUCCUAAACAAAUCACUUCAUCUCCCUGCUCCAGAACAUGACCACCAGGGCCAUCUCAGACCAUAUCAUCUGCUUCUCAUCUUGCUGGGCUGUAACAGGCACUUCUUGAGGGUUGCCUUAUUAUGCUUUAUGUAAAAGAAGGCAUUCCCCACUUUCUCCCAGGUAAGAAUAUCAUAUUGGGCAAAGUUACUUGGACUUCCUUGAGAGGAUGCAACUAUUCUUUCUGCCUGAAGCAGAUGUGGAGAGGGCACUAACACCAGUCAUGCUUACAUGAGGAAAUCGCUCAGCUACAGGAAUAUUUGUUAUAGGAGUGCCUAGGCUUCCUUAAUGGGAAAAGCAGACACUGCUGGUGUGAACACAACCAGUGUGAAGGGGUCCUAAAACAUUAACUUCUGUGUAGCACACAUACACAUGCAUGCACACAUACAAGCCCUGUUAUGAAUAUGUCUAUUUCAUUUUCUGUUCUUUGGCACCAGUACAGCAACAAUUAUCCAGACAAACCUUCUCAUAUGUCUGAAUAAUUUUGUUCUGAAAUACAACGCUUAUAGGGCCUUAUCGCUGUCAGCUAGAAAGGUGAUGACUUGCUAGAAUCCACAUUAGUAUUUAGUCUCUUCCAGCUGUUGCAGCUGGUGAGUGAUGUGUCCUUAAGUCUUCCAAGAGAGAAGACAGUCUCAUGAGAGAGAAGCGCAUCUCAUGGAUUAACCUAAGUGGAACUGCUCACUCUAGAUACUUCAGACAAUAGCGUAUUGGAAUUUUUUUAUUAGCAUUAUUAAACAAGCUCUUUCCAGUCUACAUUAUGGCAGAAACUUAAGCAGGAAUACUCCGAACAGUGCAAAAAUAAAGAAUUUAGCAGAUCCAUAUUCAUAUAGAUGGUUUUGCUCCCAACAAUUGUACUUCAGAUUCUUCCCAACAGAACGCUUCUAGUAUGUAUUUCAAAUAAAUAAAUCCACUCGAGAGGAAGAUGAAUUUAAAUAUUUUUGGAAUGACAGAUUAUAUAUUAUUAUAUUAGAUCAACUGAACCAUUUAAUCUAAAAGAGGGAAGGCUGAGUAGAUGUCGCCAGAUAAGAUUAGACUACUGACUUCACACAGUGCUGAUUGUCAAAGCUAUAUAUUUGAUCAGACAAAUCAGUUUGUAAUAUAUCAUCCUUCUUAAAAAUGAAAAGCCACAACCAACAAAAGGGAGGGAGGUAUGAAUGUUGAGGGUGGGGUGUGGGAGCCACAGUAGCAGUUAUGAAAUUAAGACUGAUUGACUCAGAAUACUUUACCAGCCAACCAGUAACAAUGCCGUAUUUGGCCUCUUUCAGAAUGCCUCACCAAUUUUCAGUGUUUGCUUUUGCAUCUUAACAUUCUCUAGUAGUGCAGUUCUGGUACUUGGAACAAACUUCAGAAACUGUUUUAAAGAGCAAAGUCCAGAUGUUACAGAUACAGUACAUGGUGUUUCUGCUUAUGCAAAGCACUUGUGCAUGACGCAAACUGCCAUUCGAACUGUGUGUCAGAAUAAGAUGGGAGGGGAAGGAGAGAAAGUAUGACAACACUGGAUAUGGCUCUCUUGUUAUAUUUCCCACUUCCCCAAAAAUCUGUAACAAAAUUUUGGGAGCAGAUGAGAAGACAGUACAAUACAAUUGUGUUUGUUUAGUCCCACCUCUGCCCACAGUAUUCAUUCUGAGGCAAUGAACCUCUUCUAAUUAAUAUGAAUACCUUGUUCUUCAGGACUGGUGACAAGGAAUAGGCAAUAGGCAGUUGCAUGGGAUGGUACUCCAACUUCUUGUUGAAGAAGAGUCCCAUCCUACCUACCUACCUACCUACCUACCUACCUACACACACACACCAUUUCUAUUCAUAGCUGCCUGGGUCAGCAAGGCACAGUGCAAUCGCUGUGCGCAUGUUUAGAAUACGAUCCUGGGCAAAUUGACUCACGAGCGAUCCUCCUUCGCCUGCUCCCACCCAAAGGUAGCCCCUGGAAUAAUCCAACAGCACUGAUAAUAAUGGCAACUCCAACUGUAAAGGUUAAGUAGCCAAUAAUUUGUUACAUAAGUCAAUGAUUCAGUAGUUCCCAGAGGGAGAACAAUGAUGAGAUAACAAAGACACAGAAUUCCUCAUCCGCCUUCAGUCCCUUGCGGUCCAUGUUGAACCAUUUCCUCUUUACUAUUGUUUGCAAGAGAGAUUAAUAGGGGUUCAGCCUCCCCCUGGUUUUACAUGGGGAUGUUGCCUUUCUUUGGUCUUCAGUGCACCUGUUAUGCAUAUGAGCAAAUCACAGGUUGGAGUGGGAUGUGGGAUUGCUGUCCCUGCCUAAGCCAAUGGAGGUUUUCCUAUUCAAUGCAAUGAAAGUUGAAUCAUAUCCUCAAAGAAAAGGAACUGAGCAAACACCACCGUAAUCUGAGCUAAACUGGCUCAGAGCCCAAGGUCAAAUACACUGUCAAAACUGAGAAACAGCUAAUCCUAACAUGAACAGGAAGCAUCCUGAUAAGAUUUGUGAUAAGGAACUCUUUUAUGGCUCUAAGGACUUUUCUGCACCUCCCAAGCCUCUUCCACAGGUUGAAAAGAAAUAUCACAAUGCAGGGCUAUUGUAAGGCAGCAUUUGAAGGCAAACCUCUACUCAGAAACGAUACCAGGCUUCUGUCUAGACCCUCAGCUGUGAUGCUAGCCCCACUUGUGAGGUCAAUGUGGUCUCUCUGGGAAACCUAAAAAGAUAUACAACCAUUCUGGUGAUAAGAAACUAGUUUGUAAGGUGCAGAAUACAGCUGAUGGUGACAGGCAGCUGACAGCAUGUGACAAAUUUGCGAAAACAUCUGCACCAACUGCCCAUACAUUACCAGGUUAAGUUCAAGGUUCUUGCAUCAAUAUACAAAGCCCUGAGCAACUUGGGUCCAGAAAAGAAUUGCCUGAGCCAUUAUAUCCCAGCUUGACCACUGAGAGCAUCCAGAAGAGUACAGUUAGUUAUUCUCCUUGUUACAGAAUCAUUUAACUGGACAGAAUUCAGGCAUUUAAUGCAGCUGGUUCUGUGCUAUGGAUUACUCUUCCAGCAGAGAUUCAGAAUAUAUUCUUGCUAUUAACCUUUGGGUGUCUCUUGAAGACUUUAUGUUGAGAGGCCUGCUAUGUUAACUCAUUGCCAGUUGGGAACUAUAUUCAGUAGAUGAUUGACACACUCUGCUGCAAUUCAUUCCAGAUUCUGUACAUACCAGUUGUUGAAACCAUCCUAUCAAACGCAAAUACAGUGGUACACUUCAGGUUACAUACGCUUCAGGUUACAGACUCCGCUAACCCAGAAAUAUUACCUCAGGUUAAGAACUUUGCUUCAGGAUGAGAACAGAAAUCGUGCUCCGACGGCAUGGCGGCAGCAGGAGGCCCCAUUAGUUAAAGUGGUGCUUCAGGUUAAGAACUGUUUCAGGUUAAGAACAGACCUCCAGAACGAAUUAAGUUCUUAACCCGAGGUACCACUGCACUACAUGGGAAGUCAAAGGUUUUUGUCCUUGCUUUUUAUUUAUCUAUCUCCUGCUUUGCUUCCAUUGAGCCAAAAGAACUAUAGGUAACAUCCCCAAGUAGCUUCCCAUCCAAGCAUUGACCAGACCCAGACCUGCCUGGAUAGCUCAACUGGUUAAAGCAUGGUGCUGAUAAUGCCAAGGUUGCAGGUUCAAUCCCCAUGUGGGACAGCUGCUUUCAAAGUUGGAAGGGACCCUGCGGAUUAGCUCAUCCUAGAAAAUCCUCAGGGUUCUUUCCAACUCUGAAAUUCUAUGGUUCUAUGGUUCUUUGAAGCUUUUUCUACAUGGCUGCAUGAGUUGGCAACAUGAGCAAAUGGUGCUACUGCCUUUCCUCAUGAGGGAAUAGUGCAGGCUUGUUAUAGCUAUCUUUGCAGAGAGUGAUGAGAAAAAGCAGAGCCCACAUGCAUAAACAGCACAGGGAUUUGCAUAGUGUACGGUUCCCAAGUCAAUAACAGCACAAUGUGCUGGGGAUGUGGCUGGCUGAGAAAUGUUUCAUCUGUGUGCAAUCCCUGCUAAUUGCAUAACCACAAUACUUUAUUAUGUAGCUGUAAUAGCAAUAAAUGGGAUAGGAUGUGGUUUCAUAAUACGCUACUGGAACAAACUGUUUAAAAUAGUGUCAGGUUCAUCUUGUAAAUGAUUUCCUGCAUGCUAUUUGGAUAAGUUUUCUAAGUUUGCUAUGUCAUGAAGUUAAAACCUAAUAAGUAAUAUAUUAAUGAUCAUUUGGGGUGGGGGUGGGGAGACAGGUUUACAUGUUUUUGGUGGAGUAAGUAAUAUAAACGGUUUCAAUUUCUGCAUUAAUGCCAAUGAACUUUGUCCCUCACUUCAGCCAAGAAACAAUUUAUUUUUUCCUAUAAAAUCUUCAGCAGCCCAAAUCCAGCUAUGAUUCCAAGAGGAUCAUCUAACCAAGGAAAAGGUACGGCUUCCAUUAAAUCCCUGCUUGAUUUAGUGACAAUUCUUCUUGGAAACAAGAGGGGACUUUCCUACGAUCCAGUGAGUCAUGGUGAAAUGAAGAGAACAGGGAUUGCAAGAUUCUGGAAUCCUUCUCAAAACCACAGAGUAGUUUUUCCAGGAAAUGUUUACAGACUGGAAAAGAGGAAGUUUUUAUUUUUAUUGCCUUUCUCCUUUAUUAAAUGGCACGCUUAAUAA